UACAGAGGGUGCAAGCGUUGUUCGGAAUUAUUGGGCGUAAAGGGUAGGUAGGUGGUCUCAUUUGUCUGGGGUGAAAGCCUUGAGCUUAACUCAAGAAGUGCCCCAGAAACGGUGAGACUGGAGUCCUGGAGAGGGUCGUGGAAUUCCCGGUGUAGCGGUGAAAUGCGCAGAUAUCAGGAGGAACACCGGUGGCGAAGGCGGUUCUCUGGGCAUUACCUGACGCUGAGGAGCGAAAGUGUGGGGAGCGAACAGG
rnacentral:rRNA from 1 species